rnacentral:misc_RNA from 1 species
UCCGGUUCUUCACCGGCAGUCUCCUUAGAGUCCCCAACUUAAUGAUGGCAACUAAGAACAAGGGUUGCGCUCGUUACGGGACUUAACCCAACAUCUCACAACACGAGCUGACGACAGCCAUGCAGCACCUGUCUCUGCGUUCCUCGCGGCACCCCAACCUCUCAGUCAGGUUCGCAGGAUGUCAAGGGUAGGUAAGGUUCUUCGCGUUGCAUCGAAUUAAACCACAUGCUCCACCGCUUGUGCGGGCCCCCGUCAAUUCCUUUGAGUUUCAACCUUGCGGCCGUACUUCCCAGGCGGAGAACUUAUCGCGUUAGCUUCGAUACCGCUUGGUUCCCCAAGCAACAUCUAGUUCUCAUCGUUUACAGCAUGGACUAC